rnacentral:misc_RNA from 1 species
GAUGAAGAACGUAGCGAAAUGCGAUAAUUAAUGUGAAUUGCAAAUUCAGUGAAUCAUCGAGUCUUUGAACGCACAUUGCGCCCCCUGGUAUUCCGGGGGGCAUGCCUGUCCGAGCGUCAUUGCUGCCCUCAAGCACGGCUUGUGUGUUGGGCCCCGUCCUCCGAUCCCGGGGGACGGGCCCGAAAGGCAGCGGCGGCACCGCGUCCGGUCCUCGAGCGUAUGGGGCUUUGUCACCCGCUCUGUAGGCCCGGCCGGCGCUUGCCGAUCAACCCAAAUUUUUAUCCAGGUUGACCUCGGAUCAGGUAGGGAUACCCGCUGAACUUAAGCAUAUCAAUAAGCGGAGGA